GUACAGAGGGUUGCCAAGCCGCGAGGUGGAGCUAAUCUCACAAAACCGAUCGUAGUCCGGAUCGCAGUCUGCAACUCGACUGCGUGAAGUCGGAAUCGCUAGUAAUCGCGAAUCAGAAUGUCGCGGUGAAUACGUUCCCGGGCCUUGUACACACCGCCCGUCACACCAUGGGAG
rnacentral:rRNA from 1 species